UGGUGCGAUCAUACUAGUACUAAUGCACCGGAUCCCAUUAGAACUCCGCAGUGAAGCGUGCUUGGGCGAGANGGCGAAGGUGGGACGGUAGAAAAAGUCGUUGGGUCGA
rnacentral:rRNA from 1 species